UACGGAGGGUGCAAGCGUUAUCCGGAUUCACUGGGUUUAAAGGGUGCGUAGGAGGACUGGUAAGUCAGUGGUGAAAUCCCCGAGCUUAACUUGGGAACUGCCGUUGAUACUAUCAGUCUUGAAUACCGUGGAGGUGAGCGGAAUAUGUCAUGUAGCGGUGAAAUGCUUAGAUAUGACAUAGAACACCAAUUGCGAAGGCAGCUCGCUACACGAAUAUUGACUCUGAGGCACGAAAGCGUGGGGAUCAAACAGG
rnacentral:rRNA from 2 species